AUAGUAUAGUAAUAUAGAUCUAGAUCUAGCUUAUUCGGGUUGUAACGCUGAUAGAUCAAUUCAAAAACGCAAAAAUGCUGGACAUUGAGUUGAUGAGUCGCUAUGUUUCACCAAUUAAUCCUGCCGUCUUUCCCCAUCUCACAGUUGUGCUACUUGGCAUUGGAAUUUUUUUCAUGGCCUGGUUUUUUGUCUAUGAGGUAACCAGCACAAAAUUUGCAAGAGAUCUUAAAAAGGAACUUGUGGUAUCUCUGGUGGCAUCCAUUUUUAUGGGCUUUGGAGUUUUGUUUCUUUUACUUUGGGUUGGAAUUUAUGUCUGACACAUGAUUCUGGCUGUGUAAAUUGUUAUUGGUUUGAAAGUUGAUGAUGGCUGUGUGAUUGGAUUUUUAUGUACCAGUAUGGUGAUUAGAAAUAAAGUACUGAAUUACAUUGGUCAAAAUUU
rnacentral:sRNA from 1 species